rnacentral:rRNA from 1 species
GCUUGUCUCAAAGAUUAAGCCAUGCAUGUCUUAGUGUAAAUAACUCUUAUGAAACUGCGAAUGGCUCAUUAAAUCAGUUAUCGUUUAUUUGAUGGUCCCUUACUACAUGGAUAACCGUAGUAAUUCUAGAGCUAAUACAUGCAUGAAUACCCAACUGCUUGUCGGGCGGGUAGCAUUUAUUAGAUUGAAACCAAUGCAGCUUCGGCUGGUAUUGUGUUGAAUCAUAAUAACUGUGCGGAUCGUACUUUGUGCGAUAAAUCGAUUGAGUUUCUGCCCUAUCAGCUUUGGAUGGUAGGAUAUGGGCCUACCAUGGCAUUAACGGGUAACGGGGAAUUAGGGUUUGAUUCCGGAGAGGGAGCCUUAGAAACGGCUACCACAUCCAAGGAAGGCAGCAGG